UACGAAGGGGGCUAGCGUCGCUCGGAAUCACUGGGCGUAAAGGGUGCGUAGGCGGGUCUUUAAGUCAGGGGUGAAAUCCUGGAGCUCAACUCCAGAACUGCCUUUGAUACUGAGGAUCUUGAGUUCGGGAGAGGUGAGUGGAGCUGCGAGUGUAGAGGUGAAAUUCGUAGAUAUUCGCAAGAACACCAGUGGCGAAGGCGGCUCACUGGCCCGAUACUGACGCUGAGGCACGAAAGCGUGGGGAGCAAACAGG
rnacentral:rRNA from 1 species